rnacentral:sRNA from 1 species
AUACAACAACAACAACAACAAGAAG